rnacentral:lncRNA from 1 species
CUUUUGGAAUCUCUCCAUGAUGGUGGUAGUUUGUCAAUGAUUGCAGUCGCAACAAGGUUGUCCUCAAUUUUGAUGCCUUCAGAUCUAAACUCUACACAAUCAUUUGAAAAUCUUGUGAUUGUUUUGCUACAGGUUUUCCAUCCACCAUUUGAUAGUGAAAGAAGUGACUAACAACAUAUUUCUUUGCACUAGCUUCCUUAGUAUCAUAUUUCUUCUGUAAAGCUUUCCACAUUUUCAUUGCAAAGAAGUAAAUAGUAUUGUAAUAAUCAUAAAAAGUAUUAGGUAGGCAAUUUAAACUAUAACACCGACAAUUAUACUCAUCUCUAUUAUAUUUUGCUACCUUCCCUUGAUGAGCUUGAAGUUCCUCUUCGUUCAUAUUGUCGGUAGAGACCUUAUUUGAGUUCUUC